rnacentral:rRNA from 1 species
AUGCAGGCGACGGAUGGCGGGGUGGCGCAGCAUAAGAAUCCAAACAAGGCCUCAGGAGAUGCAUCUAAUACCAGGGAAAGAAGUACAUAUUUAAUACUAAUAGAUUACAGCAGCAGAAGGAAAUUACUGUCAUCCGAAACAAAGCAGAAAAUAAUAAUUGAAAUCAGCAUUGAAACAACAGAUGAACUAACCAGCAAAGAGGCUAUUCUCCGCAAUGCACUCGGUGUAACUGAAGUUUACACGUUGAAAAUGGGGCAAGAAAUUAGCCCAUUAGUUCAAUUUUCAAGUGUUCUGAAGAUGAAAGCUGCCCAUACUGUGAGUGACCGGAAUGCGCAAUCGUAUCGCCAGCACGCUAAGAAUAUUGAAAAUACAUCAUCGAGUAACAAAACGGAGAAAUCACAGCAGAAAUGA